GUACCUGAGACGCUGUGUGGAGUUUAUCUGCAAAGAUUUACGGACGUUUUCUUGUCUUUACUGUGACCUUUCCCCACAUCUGAUUUGUGAUUGCCAAGCGACAUGGCCUCCGUGGUUUAUUUUACGCGCUCCUCAGGCUGCGCCGCCGGGCGGUAACUUUUUUUGUACUUUUGAAUAGUUUGAGUAUUUAUGAUCAUUAUUUCUUUACUGACAAACAGUUUGUGAGAACUAAAAGUAUCUUUAAAUGUAACUCUGUGUGUGUGUGUAAAAGUGUCUGUUUAAAAUCAUGCUCCCAGUCUCAUGGCGCACUAACUGCAGUGACACGCAGCACGUUUAUUUCACGCAGGCUUGAGUCGUUUUGCCUGUGAGGCAUUAUGCUGCUGGAGACAGUCGACGGUGGGUUGUGACGGCUGUGAAUCCAACAUGGAAGCGCAGAAGGAUGAAGGCCGAGGGCCGUGGUCAUCUUCGCCUCCCGCUCCCUCCAGCUCUGUCUGCUACAGGAGCGGUCUCAUACUCUUCCUCCUCUUCUUCCUUAUUAUUGGCAUCUUUGUCGGCCUGGUUAUAGCGUACCUUGUGCAGGAGCAGCAUCAUUUCAUGGAGACAGUGGAGCUCAGAGGUCUGAAGUACGACGCUGCACUGCAGGAUAAGAGCUCUGGUUUCUCCAUAGUACUGUCCUCAGUUUUAAAGUCCAGGAUUAAAAACGUCUUCACCGCCUCACCCAUAACACGUCACUUUGUCGAUUGCAGCAUUGUUGCCUAUGGUAACAUUAACGGAGAUGUGAUGGCGACGCUCCGACUCGUCUUCAGGGUGUCCAAGAUCCAGCAGUAUUCAGAAAACUUUGUUCAGGACUUGCUGAGUGCAGGACUCAGCUCAUCGAUGCACGGGAAA
ensembl:lncRNA